rnacentral:rRNA from 1 species
UUAUAAGAGACAGCAGCCGCCGCGGUAAAACGUAGGUGGCAAGCGUUGUCCGGAAUUAUUGGGCGUAAAGGGCUCGCAGGCGGUUUCUUAAGUCUGAUGUGAAAGCCCCCGGCUCAACCGGGGAGGGUCAUUGGAAACUGGGAAACUUGAGUGCAGAAGAGGAGAGUGGAAUUCCACGUGUAGCGGUGAAAUGCGUAGAGAUGUGGAGGAACACCAGUGGCGAAGGCGACUCUCUGGUCUGUAACUGACGCUGAGGAGCGAAAGCGUGGGGAGCGAACAGGAUUAGAUACCCCGGUAGUCCCUGUCUCUUAUAA